rnacentral:lncRNA from 1 species
CUGGAGUUGGCCAGGUGGGAUAGGAGUGUUGGAUCUGGUGGCUAUGCGGGUCCAAAAAUCUCGGCAUAACUUUUCAAAACUGGCUUCGAAGCCCUGUGCCCAGUCCAGGCUAUCUAGAUUUGCUUGUUGCCGUGAAAGCCUUCCGCAUGGUGGUCAUCUUUAAUAAACCAUGCGGUCUGAGACUCCGCUGAUUGCAGGCUAUUUUGGUAAGUGGGGACCGGGAUAUCCCCCACCGGUCCCGGGGAGGGGCAACGGGGUGUCUGUGGUUGUUCUUCAGGAUGCGUAGUCCCCAGCAGGAGAUUGGCUGCCUCUCCCAGCCGUCGGGCCCUCAGUCCUGGUAGGCCGCAAGGCCAGAAGGUAAAGCACGCUUUCAGGAGCUGGUAAUUUGGGAUCCGCAAUAUCCCUGUCGUUUAAGGUGCUUGUCAAGCAAAAUUCUGAUCCUUCUGACAGUUUUUUGUGUAGGUUUAGUCGAUUUAAAGUUUGUGGUGGCAGGAGCGUCCUGUAAGCAUGUCUGGCCAACUUGCAGAUCAGGCCCUACCCCCCCCCAGGAUUUUUUUGUGUGGUAUUGGAGCAGUAAAUGCUUCUUUCUGGUAACUCAACAAUGCAGCUAACUUUUGUUCAAGUAUCGUCACAUUGUGCAACCACACCAUCCAUUUCCAGAACAGCUUGUAUUUCUCCUGAAGUUACCUGUGGGUUUUUCUUUGUAUCCCGAACAAUUCUUCUGGCAGUUGUGGCUGAAAUCUUUCUAGCUCUACCUGACCUUGGCUUGGUAUCCACUUUUUAAUAAGUGAUUGAACAGUACUAACUGGCGUUUUCCUUUUCCAUCUUUAUAAAGUUCCAUUUCCUUGUUACGCAGGUUUUUUGACAGUCCUUUUCUGCUACUCAUGUCUCAGUAUCUAGCCUACUCAGUGCAUCCAUGUGAGAGCUAACAAACUCAUUUACUAUGUAUACACAGGGACUAAUUGCAAUUUAAUAGGUGUGGAAAAUAACCUUUAAUUGACAUUUUAACCUGUGUGUGUCACCUUGUAUGUCUGUAACAAGGCCAAACAUUCACAGGUAUACAAAUUCUUGAUCGGGGCCAUUUAGGUGAUUUCUGUUAAAAUUAUGAUUUAAAAAGGAACCAAACAACUAUGUUAUAAUAAAUGGCUUCAUAUGAUCACUAUCUUGAGAUAUAAAUCCAGCCCUGAAAUUAUUUUAUUAACCGUAAAUGGUCAUAGUUUUUUGUUUUGUUUGUUUUUGUCACCCACUAUAUAUUCCAGUGAGUAACACACCAACUGAAAUGGAAUGUAACAUAACUUAAAAACAAUAGCAGUGUAACUGGUGUUUGGUGUUCUAGAAAAGCAUAUAUCUGUCAUAUUGCUUAUUGUGUGUCUUUCACUCAGGAUGUUCUGCUUUUGUGCUGUGAUGUGCAGAACUGUAUUUCACAUUUUAUGUUUUAUUUCCUGUAAUAAUAUACAAAGUCAUCUAACAAAAGGGAAACACAAGUUAUAUUUACUGGAAAUAUCAAAUAUCAAUUCAGAACAUGAAAUAAUAAUAUUUUCCCUUUCUGUGAUAUACUAAAAAACACAAACUUAUAAAAGAAUAGAAUUAAAAGUAUAUUUGAAUAGUUGCGACCCCAAAUUCUACUUCCUCUGUCUGGGAGAUUGCUCUGUUAUUUUUAGAAAUCUUUAAAAUUCCUCGGAUUUGGGACAAUCAUGUCACAUAGUAUAGGAGCCUGUGGUCUCAGUUUACUUUUGACACAGAUGAAGUUGACUGUACAAUAUAUGAGUAUGAACAGAGUUCUUUUUAUCAUCUUACAUUACUCGAACAUUAACCCCUCAAGGACACAUGACAUGUGUGACAUGUCAUGAUUCCCUUUUAUUCCAGAAGUUUGCUCCUUAAGGGGUUAAAUACAGGGUUAUUCUCUAAAGUUAGAAUUCCAAGAGAAUUUCAGAAUUAAGGCCAGAGUAGCAGAAUUGAAAGCAUAGUUGACUUAGAGGAUUUUUCCAGUUUGGCUACUUUGGCCUUAUAUUUAAAAUUUUCUUUGAAUUCACCUUACAUUCU